rnacentral:rRNA from 1 species
UACGAAGGGGGCUAGCGUUGUUCGGAAUUACUGGGCGUAAAGCGCGUGUAGGCGGGCCGUUAAGUCGGGGGUGAAAGCCCAGAGCUCAACUCUGGCAUUGCCUUCGAUACUGGCGGCCUGGAGCAUGAUAGAGGCGAGUGGAAUUGCGAGUGUAGAGGUGAAAAUCGUAGAUAUUCGCAGGAACACCAGUGGCGAAGGCGACUCGCUGGAUCAUUGCUGACGCUGAGACGCGAAAGCGUCGGGAGCAAACAGG